CAAAAAGUUAAACAUAGAAUUACUACAUGACCCAGCUCUGAGUCAUAUAACCUAGAAGACUUCCACUUCUGGGCAUAUACUCAAAAGAAGUGAGAACAAGUUUCAAGCAGAUACUUGCACACGCACGUUUACAGCAGCGCUCUCCACAAUAACCAAAGGUGGACUCAUCCGUGGACACUCGCAUGGAUAUACCAAAUGUGGAAUAUACCACAGUGGACUAUUUGUCCAGCCUUAAAAAGAGAGAAAAUUUGGACACAUGCUACAACACGAAUGGAUGACCUUUGAGGACAUUAUGCUCUGUGAAAAAAGCCAGACACCAGACACAAAAAGACAAAUGUUGCCUGAUUCCACUGAUAUGAACUAUCCAGAAUGGGCAACUUCAUUGGGACAGAAAUUAGACUAGAGGCUACUAGGUUCUGGGUGGGGGCACCGGAGAGUUAUUGCUUAAUGGCCACAGAGUUUCUCUUUGGAGUGUUGAAAUUUCUUGAAAAUAUGGUGAUGGCUGCAGAGUAUUGUGAGUGUAAUUUGUGUCACUGAAGGCUACAACUUUGAGUUUACCUCUCUUCGUCCCCGAGGCCAGGGGCAGUGGAGUAACUUAACAGGAGUCUGGAGUCAUGUAAAUGGAAGGGGCAGGAUUUGAGCAAGAUCAGUGUGGGCAGCCUCCCUCCAAGAGGCCAGCAGCUGUAGUGAAGUGCUUCUCACACCUUCCUUGGAGUGCCAUUUGCGGUUCUGUCACUAAAGAGAAAGGACCCCCUGAAAGUGAGAGGAGGAAGAGGUAGGAGACCGAUUUUCUCAUGGUUGAACCUUCUGUCAACGUUUUCGGAAAGAGCAGGGCGCCGUUCAUCCCCAGGAAGGUGGUGAGGCCAGCACAGUACAAGACAUGACAGGAUGAACUUCUGGAGCUCUGGCAGAACCAGUCUCACAUUCCUGGGGUGGAGAACGGAGACCAUCAUCCAUACCUCGCAGCGUCCUUGUGAAGGAAGAGAACUUUACUAUUCUUAAGAUCUUGACCUCCUUUACAUCCAGAAAACCUUUGUAGUUUUAAGGCUGAUGGCCUGUCAUGGCACAAAGAAGCAGAAUGGAUGUGUUCCAUUUUGGAGGCUUGAAAAGGGCCCAGUGGCCUGAGCCUGCCAGUUAGCCCCCGGGGGCUGGGAAUAACAAGCGGAGUGACAUUGAAAGUAAAUUGUUCUACUUAAAGUGUUGAAUCUUAACACAUCUUUUCCUGUGGCUCCAGAACUCUCUUUUUCUAUCAGGCUUUGUGGCUUUUAUACAAGAACCAGAAUUGAGGGCCAGGCCACACCCUGGACAGUCCUGGCCACGUCCUAGCCACUGACCCAUAAGUGACGGGAAUUAUCUGUGGAUUGUCUUUUUCGGGGAGAUGGGGUGUGACUACAGUUCUGAUCAAUGAUGCUGGUGACACUUAUCUUUAUCCAAAGAGACAUAUUAGAAACUUAGUGCUGUGUGGCUCCAAAGGGAUCCCAAUCUUUCUGGGAGAAAUGGCUAAGUCAAUGAUGAUAUAAACAGAGAAUGUAACAUUUUGCUCUAUGAAAAAUCCUACUUUCGAAGCUUUCUUAUUGACAUGGGAAAAUGUUAACAUCACAUCCAUUCUGAUAAUCCACACCGGUGCCUCUGCGACAGAACACCAGCCGAUGAGAGAGGAACAGUAGCACAAACAGGCCACGCCCGAAUCUUCUGGAAAUUACUCUUUGGCUGGUUUCCAUCCCAUAGCUAAUUGGUCUGCUUUUCAGACCUUGUGAACCAGAAGCGAUGGCCCCAGGAUCACGAACUUCGCAAUUGGAAGCUCAGCCUGUCUUGGCACAGGGGGAGAGCCUUUGCUCCACAAACCAUGGAUGAUCACUCCUACUGGGAAGUCCGGGGUCAGCAGUCUGGGGUCAGGGUUUCAGGUUGGGCUCAGUGAUCAGGGCUUCAGGGCGUAGGACCCUCGUGCUUCCUGUACAGGCUGGGGGCAGGGGCCCUACCUUCCUGCCUCCUCACGCCAAGUCCUAAGGUCAUGCCCAGGUCUCUGGACCCCUGCCCUGUAUCUGGUAAGGGACUUGUUUCUAGAAUAUGUAAAGAACUCCUACAACUUAAUAAUAAAAGGACAACCCAAUUUAAAAAAUGGGCAAAAUAUCUUAGUAGACACUUGUCCAAAGAAGAUAUACAAAUAUAUAAGCACAGGAAAAGAUGUUCACCAUCACGAGCCAUUGUGGGAAUGCAAAUCAAAACCACAACCAGAUACUAAUUCACACAGUAGGAUGGUGAUUAUUAAAAAUCCAGAUAAGGAGGGGCACCUGGGUGGCUCAGGUGGUU